rnacentral:tRNA from 1 species
GCCCGGGUGGUGGAACGGGAGACACGGGGGACUUAAAAUCCUCUCUCGCCGCAAGGCGGGGUGCAGGUUCGAGUCCUGCCCCGGGCA